rnacentral:rRNA from 1 species
AUAUUAAACACAGUAAAAGACUGAGGAAUAACCUCUUUAAUCUGCGUUCACUGAUUAUUUUGAGUGCAGAAGACGGUUUUAGAAUUCCUGAAGAAAGGGUAAAAUUGUUGAUAUAGGAAAACUUUCGAUGGCGAAAGCAUUUACCGAUUCUGUUCUGACGCUAGGUACUAAAGCUUGGGGAGAAAGAGGAUUAGAGACCUCGUAGUCCUUGCCUUAAACAAUGAGUGUUCAACGUCUUAGAAUACUCGGAUUCACUUAAUUGAUGCGAUCCUAGAGGAUUCUUGGGGGUUUAAAGCUAACGCGUGAAACACCGCCUGGGGAAUGUGGCCGCAAGGUUAAACUCAAAGGAAUUGACGGAGACUCAUACAAGGAGUGGAGCAUGUGGUUUAAUUCGAGA